CAGGGCCCAAUUUUUCGCGACCCGUGGUCACCACGGACAUCCAGAUUGCUGCGAUCAUGCAGCAAAUUAACAUUCUUACGGAAGUGGUCAGAAGCCUCUAGCAGCAGCAGACCCAGCCACCACAGUCACCGACGGAGUAAUCGGUGGCACAUUUGAUGCCAUUCAGGCACAACCACCGUCAUCCACGGCAAUCUCCAUCUCUUCCUCC
rnacentral:lncRNA from 1 species